CCUACGGGGCGCAGCAGUGAGGAAUAUUGGUCAAUGGCCGCAGGGCUGAACCAGCCAAGUCGCGUGAGGGAUGACGGUCCUAUGGAUUGUGAACCUCUUUUGUCAGGGAGCAAAGGGCGCCACGUGUGGCGCUUUGCGAGUACCUGAAGAAAAAGCAUCGGCUAACUCCGUGCCAGCAGCCGCGGUAAUACGGAGGAUGCGAGCGUUAUCCGGAUUUAUUGGGUUUAAAGGGUGCGCAGGCGGAAUGUCAAGUCAGCGGUAAAAUUUCGGGGCUCAACCCCGUCGUGCCGUUGAAACUGGCGUUCUUGAGUGAGCGAGAAGUAUGCGGAAUGCGUGGUGUAGCGGUGAAAUGCAUAGAUAUCACGCAGAACUCCGAUUGCGAAGGCAGCAUACCGGCGCUCAACUGACGCUCAUGCACGAAAGCGUGGGUAUCGAACAGGAUUAGAUACCCCAGUAGUC
rnacentral:rRNA from 1 species